UACGCAUUUUACCUAUUUGUUUUUCCCCAAAAAUAAUAUCUACAGCCAGCUUUUUCUUUUUAAGACAUUUGGAGAAAAUGUCUUGUUGAGCAGCUCUGAAAUGUCAGAUGAGAAUGCCAAAUGAUGCAGGUUAAGGUGAAAAUGGAUUCUGAAAAACGAAGUCGUGUCAUGCAGAGAAAACGAGCUCCAUCACAUGAUAAACGAGCUGCGUCGGCGUCUCACAGAGACUCAUCGUGCAUUAUUCUGCAGAGCAGAUGGUGCUCUACAACAGAUAUCCCUCUACGUUCUUCCACAACAGGGCUAACCAACAAGAGACGAAGAUGACAGCCUGUGGCACUUGGGAGCACUUCACUCAGGAAGUGUACACCCUUGGAGCUAAUGUUGCUCAAACAAUAACUACAUUAAUGAAGACAAACAUGCAACAAUGGAGAAUCUUCCGGACUUCUCUCUGUGUCUGUGAGUACUAACAUAAGCACAACAUCCCCUCUCCCACAACACAGGGCCUGAUAACUGCCUUCCUGCCCAGCUAUGGCUCCCCCUAGCCGUGCCUCCAUGUUUCCUUGUUAAUGCACACCAUAAUGCCCUGACCCUCCCUUCUCUAUCACACCAAAUAUACACCAAAAUACACCUUAAAAGUUCAAUUUAUCCGUCUAAAUAUCAAAUAUACAGCCUCUAUGUGCCCUUCAGCCAACAUUGGGCACCAUUGGCCACAGCAGGAGAGAGGAUUUCUUACCUUUUUCACACUGGCUCUGCCUAUACCUCCCUCUUCAACAGUCCCAAGCUCGACAGCCUCCUUCUUCUUCCCAGCAAUCCCUGCAAAAAGGACACUUCCAUGUAUGUCUAAUGUGUAGGGGUGUCCAAAUUGGACUUUGCCAUUUAUUAAGGGCCCAAAGAGCCCAUAGAACCCAAAAAUGGCACAUUUGGGCCCAAAUAUAUAUAUCCUCUAAAAUAAAAUAUUAAAAUUAUUUUUUAUUGGCCAAAAACAGCAAAGCCCACUCCUCAUAUACAACAAGUCCUACCCCCAUAUUUUCAACUUAUUCCAGUCCAUCUAGUAGGCAUACAGUUGAUACAGAAGCGCAAUUGUCAGUCAGUGCGCAGCUGAUCUCUGGGACUCUUUCUGUGGCUUUUGGUGCGUUUUCCAAGCCCUGGGGCAUCUUUGAGAGACUACAGAUACUCCAUGGUGGUAUUUUUGAGUCAAAGAGACCCUUUUCUUUUGGACUAGACCAGAAAAAUAAGAAGACAAAUAUUUACAAGCGCGUAGAAUCCAACAAGGCUCAAAGACCGCUUUGGAUCCAAAUGGACAUCUCCAAAUGUGCACAGGUGUAUCCAAAGGCACAGGGAGCUCUCCAAAGGCCCAAGGACGAAAAGUAGGAGGUUUAUCCAGCAUUAAAGGUAUUUAAAAUAAUAAUUAUGUUCAAAUUCACAGAUUGCACUUCAGCUAAAAAGCAAGAAUAUCGAAUUAGUGGUCCAUUUUAAAGCAGAGUGCAGUGAGGAAAAUGUACCAAAUGGCGCAAGUGGCUUUACAGCAUUCAAAGCUAAUAAUUCAACUAUUUUAAUAUAAAACAUACUAAAAAUGAAUGUUAUAAAACGGACAACACUCUGACAUGGCUCACGAAUUACUAUGACUGCAUAUCCAGCCAAAAGUAACAUGAGACAGUCAAAUACCCUGAGCAGUAAACUCACCUGCUCAUUGCGCCACAGCAGUCUUUCUGCUAGUCCUGUCUGGUCCUUUAUUCAGGAUAAAAUAAGAAUAAGUGAAUCCUCGUAGAACAAAAUACUUUAUGUAAAUCCCCUGCAGGCGAAUCCAACUAAUUAUUUGGUUGGUGGAUGAAUACGCCGGCGGUUGAGACUGUUUUCCCCAAAAUAAACCCCCUAUGCAAAUCAUGUUAGCAUCUCAGCCAGCAGAGCGUUAAAGGAUAAACCUGUUCCCUUCAGAGCCUGCUGAUGUCUAUGUUUACGUCCGAGCUGUAUCUCAACAACACAUAGUCAUAUAGGAUGGGUGUAGCCUCCUUACGUGUCCAGACCUGAGUUUCGGACCCCCUCUCUGAGACACCGAGCCUCAGGCAGCAGCAGCAUAAGAGAAGCCUUGUCCUCAGUGCUGGGGUUCAAAGCAAAAAUAGAAGAUUAAAAAAAACCGAAUAGUGUCCGUUAGAAAUGACAAAGCCUUCGUUUAUCUGCUCACAAACGACCCCUCACAUGCGCAUGUGUAGCCUGUCAGCACCAGAGCACAGCCGGAGCUGCAGCCGGACGCACGCCUGUCCUCAUUGUGCAAACACCGCUGCAGCUGUCAAACAGAUCAUAUUUCAGACUGAAGGCUCAGUGUCCUAUGAUAUGGGACAUCAGAUGUCUGUGGCCAACAGGCGUAAUGUGGAGGCUCCAGGGUGACAGACAGCUGCUGGGGGGCACGAGGAGCGCUGUGUCGGUGUGUAGCACCAAUAAUGAGCCUGGAGGCAGUGAGCAGCAGAAUACUGUAUGAACAAAAGGCUGUGGGUACAACUUAACAGGAAUAGACUUUAUCCCAGACUCCCUCUUAUUUGAAUGUAUUAUGUCUACUCAUUUAUUUUCAAGUAUAAAACGAUGCAUUAUUCGCUCACUCCAGCACGUGCCUUAUUUGACAACAGAACAAGCCUGUAAAUGUGUCAGAUUUCAUUCAAUGUGAUGAGAGCAGCUUUUAAAUAAAAUAAUAAUCAUGAAGAA